rnacentral:rRNA from 1 species
GACGAGGGGUCCUAGCGUUGUUCGGAAUCAUUGGGCGUAAAGCGGGUGUAGGUGGUUCGACAAGUCAGGAGUGAAAGCCCUGGGCUCAACCCAGGAAGUGCUUUUGAAACUAACGAACUUGAGUAUCAGAGAGGAUAGUGGAAUACCUGGUGUAGUGGUGAAAUACGUAGAUAUCAGGUGGAACAUCGGUGGCGAAGGCGGCUAUCUGGCUGAAUACUGACACUCAGACCCGAAAGCGUGGGGAG